GCCCGGGUGGUGAAAUUGGUAGACACAAGGGAUUUAAAAUCCCUCGCUGGCAACAGCGUGCCGGUUCAAGUCCGGCCCCGGGCACCA
rnacentral:tRNA from 3 species